CCUACGUGUUGUUGUUUGAUGCAGUCGAGCGGAAACGAGUUAACUGACCCUUCGGGUGACGUUAACGGCGUCGAGCGGCGGACGGGUGAGUAAUGCCUGGGAAUAUGCCUUGAUGUGGGGGAUAACCAUUGGAAACGAUGGCUAAUACCGCAUAAUGCCUUCGGGCCAAAGAGGGGGAUCUUCGGACCUCUCGCGUCAAGAUUAGCCCAGGUGGGAUUAGCUAGUUGGUGAGGUAAUGGCUCACCAAGGCGACGAUCCCUAGCUGGUCUGAGAGGAUGAUCAGCCACACUGGAACUGAGACACGGUCCAGACUCCUACGGGAGGCAGCAGUGGGGAAUAUUGCACAAUGGGCGCAAGCCUGAUGCAGCCAUGCCGCGUGUGUGAAGAAGGCCUUCGGGUUGUAAAGCACUUUCAGUCGUGAGGAAGGUGGUGUAGUUAAUAGCUGCAUCAUUUGACGUUAGCGACAGAAGAAGCACCGGCUAACUCCGUGCCAGCAGCCGCGGUAAUACGGAGGGUGCGAGCGUUAAUCGGAAUUACUGGGCGUAAAGCGCAUGCAGGUGGUUAGUUAAGUCAGAUGUGAAAGCCCGGGGCUCAACCUCGGAACUGCAUUUGAAACUGGCUGACUAGAGUACUGUAGAGGGGGGGUAGAAUUUUCAGGUGUAGC
rnacentral:rRNA from 1 species